rnacentral:rRNA from 1 species
UACAGAGGUCUCAAGCGUUGUUCGGAUUCAUUGGGCGUAAAGGGUGCGUAGGCGGCGCGGUAAGUCGGGUGUGAAAUCUCGGAGCUUAACUCCGAAACUGCAUUCGAUACUGCCGUGCUUGAGUACUGGAGAGGAGACUGGAAUUUACGGUGUAGCGGUGAAAUGCGUAGAUAUCGUCAGGAAGACCAGUGGCGAAGGCGGGUCUCUGGACAGUUCCUGACGCUGAGGCACGAAGGUCAGGGGAGCAAACGGG